rnacentral:rRNA from 1 species
AACGAACGCUGGCGGCAUGCCUAACACAUGCAAGUCGAACGAUGCCUUCGGGCAUAGUGGCGCACGGGUGCGUAACGCGUGGGAAUCUGCCUUUCGGUUCGGAAUAACUCAGGAAACUUGAGCUAAUACCGGAUAACGUCGCAAGACCAAAGAUUUAUCACCGAAAGAUGAGCCCGCGUAGGAUUAGCUAGUUGGUGAGGUAAAGGCUCACCAAGGCGACGAUCCUUAGCUGGUCUGAGAGGAUGAUCAGCCACACUGGGACUGAGACACGGCCCAGACUCCUACGGGAGGCAGCAGUGGGGAAUAUUGGACAAUGGGCGAAAGCCUGAUCCAGCAAUGCCGCGUGAGUGAUGAAGGCCUUAGGGUUGUAAAGCUCUUUUACCCGGGAAGAUAAUGACGGUACCGGGAGAAUAAGCCCCGGCUAACUCCGUG